rnacentral:lncRNA from 1 species
GGUCGUCAAGGCCUCUGACAUAUUGUACAAACUGAACCUCUGUCUAUAAAGCCUCUAAGAUUAUUUGACAUCAAUGAGACAGGGUACUGGCCUACCCACAAGUUUGUAGCAAAAUUGAUGACUCAUAGACUCGGCUGCACUCCAAAUGAGGUGAAGUCUUACUGAUCCUUUGCUGAAUACAAACCUCGUCUACUGUGAGGGGUCGUCAAACUGAUUUUCUAUACCUGCAAGCAUGAAUGCAGUGUCCCCAACAAAAGGACGUCAGUACGAGUAAGGUACUGAGUAUGUAAUGUAGAAUUAAAACACAAUAAUAAGUCAAUAUUAAUUAAAAACAUGGAAGAAAUAUAGAGUAAGUGACUUAACUUGUAAGUCUGGAUGACUCUGUAAAUCAUGUAAUACUUAUAGUGUCAUGCAUAUGCGUAUGAAUGUCAUGUAAUGCAUAGGUCUGUACAUACGUAACAUCAUAAAGCCUUUGAGGGCAUCCCAUCAUAUCAUCUCAGUCAUUGUGGGCAAAAUCAUCAUCGUAUACCAGCUGAUCAGGUGGUGGUGCGUAUAUAACGCCAUAACCUUUCCCAUAUACAUAUAUAUACGUGUAUAUAACGCCAUAACAUCAUCACGCCUCAGAGGGCAUCUCAUCAUAUCAUCUCGGCCACUAUGGGCAAAUCAUCAACGUAUACCAGCUGAUCAGGUGGUGGUGCGUAUAUAACGUCGUAAUCUUUUCUCAUAUCCCAUAUACAUAUAUUUACAUACAUACGCGUAUAUAACACCAUCUUAUCAUAGGUCAAUGCACAUGAGUGAAAUGCAUGAAAAAUACGCAAUAAUCUCAAUAUUCCUUCCGAAUAAACUUUUCCAACUGCAUAUUAUUCUGAGACCCAUGAACAGAAAAUAAUAAUAAUUUUCAUUGGAAUCAAGAAUAUAGACACCCCUGAUAAUUCUAUGAAUAGAUUAAUUUAUGGAAAUUGUGUAUCUGCUCGUUUCUUCAAUAUAAUUUGGAUCAUGCCAAAAGAAAGAAGGGAGGGUCGUAUCAUACCUUUAACCUUUAAGGCCAACUUUCUACUUGUAUCCGUG